rnacentral:rRNA from 1 species
AGCUGGAUUCGCUAGUAAUCGCGCAUCAGCCAUGGCGCGGUGAAUACGUUCCCGGGCCUUGUACACACCGCCCGUCAAGCCAUGGAAGCCGGGGGCGCUUGAAGUGCGUUGCCGCAAGGCGCGCCCUAGAGCGAAACCGGUGACUGGGGCUAAAGUCGUAACAAGGUAAC